rnacentral:lncRNA from 1 species
AUGGAAAAGAAAUGCAAAAAUGCAAAAUGGCUGUCUGGGGAGGCCUUACAAAGAGCUGUGAAAAGAAGAGAGGUGAAAAGCAAAGGAGAAAAGGAAAGAUAUAAGCAUCUGAAUGCAGAGUUCCAAAGAAUAGCAAGAAGAGAUAAGAAAGCCUUCUUCAGUGAUCAAUGCAAAGAAAUAGAGGAAAAGAACAGAAUGGGAAAGACUAGAGAUCUCUUCAAGAAAAUUAGAGAUACCAAGGGAACAUUUCAUGCAAAGAUGGGCUCGAUAAAGGACAGAAAUGGUAUAGACCUAACAGAAGCAGAAGAUAUUAAGAAGAGGUGGCAAGAAUACACAGAAGAACUGUACAAAAAAGAUCUUCACGGUCUAGAUAAUCAUGAUGGUGUGAUCACUAAUCUAGAGCCAGACAUCCUGGAAUGUCAAGUCAAGUGGGCCUUGGAAAGCAUAGCUACGAACAAAGCUAGUGGAGGUGAUGGAAUUCCAGUUGAGCUAUUUCAAAUCCUGAAAGAUGAUGCUGUGAAAGUGCUGCACUCAAUAUGCCAGCAAAUUUGGAAAACUCAGCAGUGGCCACAGGACUGGAAAAGGUCAGUUCUCAUUCCAAUCCCAAAGAAAGCCAAAGCCAAAGAAUGCUCAAACUACCACACAAUUGCACUCAUCUCACAUGCUAGUAAAGUAAUGCUCAAAAUUCUCCAAGCCAGGCUUCAGCAAUACGUGAACCGUGAACUUCCUGAUGUUCAAACUGGUUUUAGAAAAGGCAGAGGAACCAGAGGUCAAAUUGCCAACAUCCGUUGGAUCAUCGAGAAAGCAAGAGAGUUCCAGAAAAACAUCUAUUUCUGCUUUGUUGACUAUGCCAAAGCCUUUGACUGUGUGGAUCACAAUAAACUGUGGAAAAUUCUGAGAGAGAUGGGAGUACCAGACCACCUGACCUGCCUCUUGAGAAAUCUGUAUGCAGGCCAGGAAGCAACAGUUAGAACUGGACAUGGAACAACAGACUGGUUCCAAAUAGGAAAAGGAGUAUGUCAAGGCUGUAUAUUGACACCCUGCUUAUUUAACUUAUAUGUAGAGUACAUCAUGAGAAACGCUGGACUGGAAGAAAUACAAGCUGGAAUCAAGAUUGCCAGGAGAAAUAUCAAUAACCUCAGAUAUGCAGAUGACACCAUCCUUAUGGCAGAAAGUGAAGAGGAGCUAAAAAGUCUCUUGAUGAAAGUGAAAGAGGAGAGUGAAAAAGUUGGCCUAAAGCUCAACAUUCAGAAAACGAAGAUCAUGGCAUCCGGUCCCAUCACUUCAUGGGAAAUAGAUGGGGAAACAGUAGAAACAGUGUCAGACUUUAUUUUGGGGGGCUCCAAAAUCACUGCAAAUGGUGAUUGCAGCCAUGAAAUUAAAAGACGCUUACUCCUUGGAAGAAAAGUUAUGACCAACCUAGAUAGUAUAUUCAAAAGCAGAGACAUUACUUUGCCAACUAAGGUCUGUCUAGUCAAGGCUAUGGUUUUUCCUGUGGUCAUUUAUGGAUGUGACAGUUGGACUGCAAAGAAGGCUGAGCGCCGAAGAAUUGAUGCUUUUGAACUGUGGUGUUGGAGAAGACUCUUGAGAGUCACUUGGACUGCAAGGAGAUCCAACCAGUCCAUUCUGAAGGAGAUCAACCCUGGGAUUUCUUUGGAAGGAAUGAUGCUAAAGUUGAAACUCCAGUACUUUGGCCACCUCCUGCGAAGAGUUGACUCAUUGGAAAAGACCCUGAUGGUGGGAGGGAUUGGGGGCAGGAGGAGAAGGGGACGACAGAGGAUGAGAUGGCUGGAUGGCAUCACGGACUUGAUGGAUGUGAGUCUGAGUGAACUCCGGGAGAUGGUGAUGGACAGGGAGGCCUGGUGUGCUGCGAUUCAUGGGGUCGCAAAGAGUCGGACACGACUGAGCAAUUGA